AGUAGAGAGUUGAGAGUAUAUUAUGGAGAGAGUAAGGAUUGAUAGUGUAGAGAUUAGAGAGAGAUUAGAGUGAGAGAGAGAUCAAAGGCAUUAAUUGCCAAUAUUCUUUAAGAUUUGCAAAAUCUCUAUAAGAUCAUCUAAAUCUUGCAAAUCCAUUCAUAUCUAUCAAGCAACUCUCUCUCUCCUUCAUCCUCACCAAUCGGCCACCUCUCUCUCUCCUUUCUCUCUCAUAAUUCCUCCAUUGUCAACCAUUGGAGAGACCUCCGAAGCUUCACCAAAAUAUGCCAAACACAUAAAUCACCAACAAAAUUCCACCUAAACACCUCCUAUCAACUUGAAUCCAAGGAAAUCCUUGAAGAUUGGCUUCAAGACUAGUGAGAGAAAGUUUGUUUGUUGGUGAAAAACUUGAACACGAGCAGAGCAGGGAAGUAAGUAACUCCGCUUUGACGGGAGUUUUUGAGUAAGGUCUUCAGACUAAGCGAGGAGCGAGAUUGGUCUGGUGCUGGCGGGGAAAUGUUGGAGGAUGUAUUUACUUUAUCGUAUUUCCAUUUUGACGAUAAAGUCUUGAUGAUUGAUAUACUUUAAUUUUCUUUUGAAGUUAAGCAAUGUACUCACGGUUAUAUGUCUUCAUACAUAUAAUCGGUUCGCCUUUUGCUGCGAUACUCUGCAUAUUAUGAUUCCUUACGAAAAAUGAGCGAUACCCGUUUUGUUUUUGUU